CUGGCGGCGUGCUUAACACAUGCAAGUUCGAACGAUGAAGCGGUUGCUUUGCACCGUGGAUUAGUUGGCGAACGGGUUGAGUAAUACGUGAGUUGACCUACCUUUUGACUCUGGGAUAAGCCUGGGAAACUGGGUCUAAUACCGGAUACGACCAAUCUCUGCAUGGGGUGUUGGUGGAAAGCGUUAUGGAGUGGUUUUAGAUGGGCUCACGGCCUAUCAGCUUGUUGGUGAGGUAAUGGCUUACCAAGGCGACGACGGGUAGCCGGCCUGAGAGGGUGACCGGCCACACUGGGACUGAGACACGGCCCAGACUCCUACGGGAGGCAGCAGUGGGGAAUAUUGCACAAUGGGCGCAAGCCUGAUGCAGCGACGCCGCGUGAGGGAUGACGGCCUUCGGGUUGUAAACCUCUGUUAGCAUCGAAGAAGCGAAAGUGACGGUAGGUGCAGAGAAAGCGCCGGCUAACUACGUGCCAGCAGCCGCGGUAAUACGUAGGGCGCGAGCGUUGUCCGGAAUUAUUGGGCGUAAAGAGCUUGUAGGGCGGUUGGUCGCGUCUGCUGUGAAAGGCCGGGGCUUAACUCCGGUUUUGCAGUGGGUACGGGCUAACUAGAGUGCAGUAGGGGAGACUGGAAUUCCUGGUGUAGCGGUGGAAUGCACAGAUAUCAGGAGGAACACCGAUGGCGAAGGCAGGUCUCUGGGCUGUAACUGACGCUGAGAAGCGAAAGCAUGGGGAGCGAACAGGAUUAGAUACCCUGGUAGUCCAUGCCGUAAACGUUGGGCACUAGGUGUGGGGGACAUUCCACGUUUUCCGCGCCGUAGCUAACGCAUUAAGUGCCCCGCCUGGGGAGUACGGCCGCAAGGCUAAAACUCAAAGGAAUUGACGGGGGCCCGCACAAGCGGCGGAGCAUGCGGAUUAAUUCGAUGCAACGCGAAGAACCUUACCAAGGCUUGACAUGCAUUAGAUCGCGUCAGAGAUGGCGUUUCCCUUCGGGGCUGGUGUACAGGUGGUGCAUGGUUGUCGUCAGCUCGUGUCGUGAGAUGUUGGGUUAAGUCCCGCAACGAGCGCAACCCUCGUUCUAUGUUGCCAGCGGUUCGGCCGGGGACUCAUAGGAGACUGCCGGGGUCAACUCGGAGGAAGGUGGGGAUGACGUCAAAUCAUCAUGCCCCUUAUGUCUUGGGCUUCACGCAUGCUACAAUGGCCGGUACAGAGGGUUGCGAUACUGUGAGGUGGAGCUAAUCCCUUAAAGCCGGUCUCAGUUCGGAUUGGGGUCUGCAAACUCGACCCCAUGAAGUCGGAGUCGCUAGUAAUCGCAGAUCAGCAACGCUGCGGUGAAUACGUUCCCGGGCCUUGUACACACCGCCCGUCA
rnacentral:rRNA from 1 species